rnacentral:rRNA from 1 species
UACAGAGGUCUCAAGCGUUGUUCGGAUUCAUUGGGCGUAAAGGGUUUGUAGGUGGCUUGCUAAGUCAGACGUGAAAUCCCUCAGCUUAACUGGGGAACUGCGUCUGAGACUGGUGAGCUUGAGUGCAGGAGAGGAACGCGGAAUUCCAGGUGUAGCGGUGAAAUGCGUAGAUAUCUGGAGGAACACCGGUGGCGAAGGCGGCGUUCUGGACUGCAACUGACACUGAGGAACGAAAGCCAGGGGAGCAAACGGG